rnacentral:rRNA from 1 species
AGAGUUUGAUCAUGGCUCAGAACGAACGUUGGCGGCGUGGAUUAGGCAUGCAAGUCGAACGAAUCCCUGCUGGGUAACUGGCAGGGGGAAGUGGCGAAAGGGGCAGUAAGGCGUGGGUAACCUACCCCGGGGACCGGGAUAGCCAUCCUAACGGAUGGGUAAUACCGGGCGAGAUGGCGAGGGGGCAUCCCCCUGUCAUGAAAUGAGUUUCGCCUUGGGAGGGGCUCACGUAGUAUUAGCUAGUUGGUGAGGUAACGGCUCACCAAGGCCAAGAUGCUUAGCGGGUGUGAGAGCACGACCCGCGCCACUGGCACUGUGACACUGGCCAGACUCCUACGGGAGGCUGCAGUCGAGGAUCUUCGGCAAUGGGCGCAAGCCUGACCGAGCGACGCCGCGUGUGCGAUGAAGGCCUUCGGGUUGUAAAGCACUGUCGAGGGGGAGGAAAGCCGCAAGGUCUGACCUAUCCCUGGAGGAAGCACGGGCUAAGUUCGUGCCAGCAGCCGCGGUAAGACGAACCGUGCGAACGUUGUUCGGAUUCACUGGGCUUAAAGGGCGCGUAGGCGGGCGAUCAAGUCAGGGGUGAAAUCUUUCGGCCCAACCGGAAAAGUGCCUUUGAUACUGGUCGUCUCGAGGGAGGUAGGGGCGUGUGGAACUUCCGGUGGAGCGGUGAAAUGCGUAGAUACCGGAAGGAACGCCGGUGGCGAAAGCGACGCGCUGGACCUCUUCUGACGCUGAGGCGCGAAAGCCAGGGGAGCAAACGGGAUUAGAUACCCCGGUAGUCCUGGCCCUAAACGAUGGGUACUAGGUAGUAGACUGUACAUGGGUUUACUGCCGAAGCAAAAGUGUUAAGUACCCCGCCUGGGGAGUAUGGUCGCAAGGCUGAAACUCAAAGGAAUUGACGGGGCUCACACAAGCGGUGGAGCAUGUGGCUUAAUUCGAGGCUACGCGAAGAACCUUAUCCUGGACUUGACAUGUGCGAAAGCCGCUGGGGAGUAGCC